AAUAUUUACUUUAUAGAAAUGGUUUAGCGUCGUCAGAAAAAGUCCGUUAGCAUCUCAAAGAAGUGCCAGAAAAAAACCUCUAUGACGCAGGAGAAGUUCCUGAUUUUAACAUUUCUGAAGGGAGCUGCUGACAGAGAGGAUGAAAACAUACACAUUUUGAUGUCCACGCUGUAGGAGCAUUACUAAAUAAUGCUUAUGUUCCUAGGUUCUUCCAUGCUGAUGGCUGUGCUCUAGUCAUAUCUCCUGUCGAAGAACAUUUUUAGACAUUAUGAACCAUGAAUAAGUUUAGCUCCAACCCCAGUUAAGCAGACCUGAGCAGCUGAUCAAGGAUCAGCAGAAACUGUGGUCCUCCAGCCCAGGACUGGACACCAGUGUUGUAAGUCAUUCUGUCUCUUUAUAGUGCAUGCUCAGAACAUAUUGCAGGAGAUCUCAACAUUGUCUCUCAAGGUCCACUUACAUGCAGAGUUUUGCUCCAACCUGCAGUGCACCUGAACACAUUAAUCAAGGUCUAACUAUUAGU